rnacentral:misc_RNA from 1 species
UACGGAGGAUCCAAGCGUUGUCCGGAUUUAUUGGGUUUAAAGGGUGCGUAGGCGGAUUAUUAAGUCAGAGGUGAAAGUUUGCAGCUUAACUGUAAAAUUGCCUUUGAAACUGGUAGUCUUGAGUAUAGUUGAGGUGGGCGGAAUGUGUCAUGUAGCGGUGAAAUGCUUAGAUAUGAUACAGAACACCGAUUGCGAAGGCAGCUCACUAAACUGUAACUGACGCUGAGGCACGAAAGCGUGGGGAGCAAACAGG